UACGUAGGGGGCUAGCGUUGUCCGGAUUUAUUGGGCGUAAAGGGCGCGUAGGCGGCCACUGCAAGUCAGUUGUGAAAUCUCCGGGCUUAACCCGGAAAGGUCAACUGAUACUGCAGGGCUAGAGUGCAGAAGGGGCAACUGGAAUUCUCGGUGUAGCGGUGAAAUGCGUAGAUAUCGAGAGGAACACCUGCGGCGAAGGCGGGUUGCUGGGCUGACACUGACGCUGAGGCGCGAAAGCCAGGGGAGCGAACGGG
rnacentral:rRNA from 1 species